ACACUGUGCUUUAAAAGGAGAAGUGUCUUGUGCAAUGCCUGGAAGCAUCUGAGUGGGUGAUGGGAAGGUAGAUUUGACUGAAGCCUGAAGCUUCAACACUGGAGGUGUGGGAAAUGCCUCCCCUUGGCCCCUCAUUGAUCAAUUCUUUUGGAGUGCCUUAAAAUGCAGCAGAUCCUAGUAGGAAGAAACCCAUGCUAGAAGGUGAUAUGGCAGAUCCACGAAGCUUUACUCUGUAAUGGCCUGCAAAACUAGCCCAGGAGGCUGGACUGGAUGGCCCGUGAGAUCUCUUCCAGUGAUUCCAUGAUUCUAUGAUAUCUCAAAAAAGGUGGAGGAAGAGAAAGAAGAAGAGGAUGAAGAAGAAGAGGAGGAAGAGAAAAGAAGAAGGGCAAAGAGGGAAGAGGAGGUGGCAAGCAAGCCUUCCUCCCUGGAGAACUAGCAUGAGUAAAAUGGAAGAGACUGAUUGUAAAGACAAGUAAUGCAGGCCAAUAGCUGCUCAGUAACCAUUGUAGCUGUAAUGCUGCAGUCAUAAAAGUAACUUUUCAAAACAGAAGUAAUAUUGUAGCAGAAGACAAAAAGGCUCCUGACUACUUUCAUUUUUGAUCUGGCAUUUUUGGUAAUGAAAAAAAAAAGAGCUUUAAAUGUUUUGAUGGUUAGGUUACAGGUUCUUCUUCAGUAAUUUCUACUUUGUCCAUAUGUUUACAUAUUUGCUGCAUUAAAGUUAAAACCGAAAAAAAUACUGAGUUUUAAGUACAAAACUCCAUGUUGAAAGAUUCUAAAGGAAGUCAAGGGCAAUCAUAAUCCAAAUCACUAAGCCCAUAUUCAGAGGAUUUCUGGAGAACAUACUUCUAUGCAAGUAUGCUCAAUACUGGAGCAUGAUAGAUCUGAAGCAGCGUGCCUGUUGCACAUUUAGAAUGCUUCCUUAGCUGAAGUGCUAUUAAUCACAUGGGACUUUCACCACUGUACAUUCUUGGAGGCAGCACGUCAAAGUUCUCCAAUACAACCAUCUAGACAGCUGUUUUCAGCUUCUGGAAAAUGGCACAGUCCAAGCUGAACUGUAACACAAGGAGGUUAUUUAUUUUUGCAUUCUGUUUGAUCUUGAGCAAUAGAGAUUACAUUAAGCCAGCAUAGUUUAAAAAUUCCCCCGCAGUCUCUCCAACAUACUGUGACCCUGCCAGAGCCCUAUCCAAUUGCUCUAACAGUCUUGCUUUCAUGGUGAUUUCCUCCCUAUUAUGCCACAAACUGUAUGGCAGCCUUAUCUAGCAUCGUGAUGCAGACCAUUCAAAGGAUAUUUUAUAUCUGGAAAAUGGAACAGGAAGAGUUCUUUUCGCCGAUGCAAAUGCAUUUACUUGAGAAGCAAUGAUAGUAUUUCUCCAAUCAAAUUUGAAUUAAUAGGCACUUGUGAAACAAAAUGAAUGAUUUACUUCUCCAGUUGACCCUCACUGCAGUCUGCACGCUCCUAAUCGGCAACUCUUUGUAACUAAAGUUUAAUAUAUGAACUAUUUCCCUGGAUUCUAGUCUUGCUUAUCAAGAGGAGAGGUACAGUGAAUGGAGCUACAAGAGAGAAGCACACUCCAUGAAACAUUUUCUUCAAAACAAAUAUCAUAUCCCAUGCACCUUAACCAAGGACUGUGAAAUUGUGCUCAAGUGAAUUUAAAAAGAAAUGCAAGUGAAUGGAACAGAGGAUGAAAAUCAAGCUGAAAAUAACACUCUGGUGCCCUUCUGGCUAGGUUAACCCAUCUUUACUGAAGAUUGCUCUCCUGUGAAUGUGUGCCUGUCUUGUACUUGAGACACCAUUGGACUAUAGCUUAGUGUUCAAAAUACUUCGGGUUACAGUUCCCACCAGUAUGACUAUUGUUAUAGUAUGAUGGGAGUUGUUCUUCAAAACACCCAAAAGGCACCACUCUGGAGAAGGUAGGUCUGUUCUGACUGUCAAACCUUCUCCAAAAUUCUAAAGAUGGGACUUCUCCAGUCAUAUCUAAGAUUUUGGGCAUUGAACCUGGGCUCUUUAGAGUGCAAAGCAUGUAUUCUACCAUUGUCAUAAGAAAAUUAUUGUUUGCUUUAAGAUGGACUCUCUCCUUAGCUGGUAAACAGCUGCUGCAAUAAAUCACUCUGACCAUGAGGUUAUGAGUUCGAGGCCAGCCCGUGGCGGGGUGAGCACCCGUCAAUUAAAAAUAAAAUAUAGCCCCUGCUCAUUGCUGACCUAGCAACCCGAAAGAUAGUUGCAUCUAUCAAGUAGGAAAUAAGGUACCACAUAAAAGUGGGGAGGCAAGUUUAACUAAUUUACAACGUUGGAAUGAGGAAGUGCCAUCAGAGUGGAUGGUGAAGCAGCUGCUCCCCCCUGUGGCCAGAAUCGAACAUCCCCUCAGGAGAAGGUUAAAUUGCCUAUGCGUCUGUCUGUCUCUUGUCUCUGUUCGAUGUGUUUAUGGGCAUUGAAUGUUUGCCCUAUGUGUGUAUAAUGUGAUCCGCCCUGAGUCCCCUUCGGGGUGAGAAGGGCAGAAUAUAAAUGCUGUAAAUAAAUAAAUAAAUAAAUAAAUAAAUAAAUAAAUAAAUAGAAAUACACAGUUGGAAGAGGUUACAUGGGCCAUCUAGUCCAACCCCCUGCCAUGCAGGAAAAGCACAAAGUACCACUGACAGAUGACUAGUAUCCAGCCAAAGAAGGAACUUUUCACUCCGAGGCAGUGAGUUCUUUAUAGAAGACUGGCCAGAUAGGCAGACAAAGUGAGACCACAUUAAGCAGAAAAAAGGAAGCAUGGUCAGCUGCGUCCUGAAGUAAAGGUAAAAGUAAAAGUAAAAAAAGUAAAGGUAAAAGUAAAAUUAAAAGUGAAAGUAAAGUUCUGCCAUUUCUUAUAGGUCAGUCAGUUUUCAUGUUACAUAGACAUUACUUUUUAAAAAUGUGAUACACUUGCCACAACAAAUGCGAUAUACCUGUCACAAACGAUGUGAUAUAUCUGCCAUGAGUAAUAAAACACAGAACCACUUCUAUUCCUUGAAACCAUUAGUCUGGAAAGCUGAACUUUGCUGACCUCUGCUUUAUACAAACAACCAAGGGCAGACAGGCCCAUAUCCCGGGACUUGUCUGGGGUUUUACCAGAGGCGUUCAAACUACGCCUCCAGUAAUAACGAAUUAAUUAGAUGCCCCAUUAGAUCCAGAGCUUCUUGAAAGGCCCGGGUCUAAUUGGGUAAUGGGCCUGGGGGACUCACUUCUAGGUAGUCCUGGGAGUACCCGGGGGUGAGUCCCCAUUGCUGUCCUGAACCUUUUGGAAUCUUGGAACCCAAAGGUCUGACAUGGUGCCCACCCUCUCCCUCCAGCCCUUCAUUUGCCUCUAAAAUAAAAUAAAUGCCUGGCUGCCAUAAAGUUCUUCCUUCACCCUCCUAGUGUGAGGAAAUGACACGCCGGGGGAGGGGGAUUUUCAUACUCACCCCCCUUGUCCCCCGUCUCCUGGCACAUCAUUUUCUUGUGCCAGGAAGGUGCAAGGAAAGUUUUAUUUUAUAUUUAGGGGGAAAUGGGGAAAAGGCUUUGGGUGGCUGCAUGCUAUUCCAAUCAUAAUCAGGAUGGCAUGUAGCCACCCCCCAGGAAAGCCCAGAGGUUGACGUGGGGACUCAAAUAUGUGCCAAAUCAGGUUUUUAAAACCCGUUUUGGCACAGAUUUUAGUCCUGUCUGAAAGUGCCCCAAGUGUCCAGGAAAUAAUUCACUGUUGCUCAAGGGAAAAUACCAAAAUAUUUUUUUCUUGACACGUUUGUCACUUAUUUCUAAGAUUUGAUCUAAGUAAUUUAUGUUCUCACAUUUGGAAAUGAGAUGGAAUUCAUCCAUAUUAGUUGUUUAUUUCCUUUCACUAUCAGCCAAAAGUUCAUAGAAUUAGCACCACACGUUAAGUUCUUUAUCUGUUGGAAGAUAUUUGCAUUUAAAAACAAAACAAAACAAUACAAAACAAAAAACUCUGAGACCAUAUUUUCAUAAAAUGUGGUAGUUUAAAGAAUAGGAAUUUCCCUUUUAGAAGAGGAUCAGUCAACUGAGCACAUUCUUUCAUCAAUGUUGGAAGCCUAAAAAGUAAUUAUGAAAGUAUUCUGUCACAGGCACUACACUACACUGAAGACAUCAACACUUUGUGAAAAUACUUCAGAAGAUAAUGUCUUGAUUGGUUCUGAUGGAAAUUAGCAAUAUAUUGAAGCAUUGGAUCUCUUCAUUGUUGUUGUUUUGUCUGGGGACUUAUUUGUUGCUUCGUUAUUUUUUCAGCGACACGGAGUAUGGCAAUUUGCUAUAUGUCAAUCACUGAGUCUUUUCAUUUGCUUUUACAUAAAAACACAUCAGUGGAUUAAGAGUGCAGUUAAAUAAGUUCAUUGGAGGUUCCUCAGUGUAACGACAACAUAAUUAUUAAAUUAAUAGCUUGAAGAAAUCCAGUUUGCUACCCUUUUUCACAAAUAGGGAAGUUUUAGCUUCCCCUAAAGCAAUGACAUCUUUUCUAUGAUUAGAGCAGAAGUGGAUACCAUAUUUGUGGAUGGCAAGAAGCAGAGAAGUGUGUAUAUAUGUGGGGAUAUGUUCCUGAACUUUGCAUAGAUACAUGAAAACAGUGAACCCUAUUAAAAUGAAGGAUGUCUGGCCCAAGAAUACCACAUAGUCAUUCUGGAAGAAUUAGAGAAUUCCUAGAUAUGUUUUGUCAGACACAGAUUAAUGAAACCAUGGAUACUGAGGCUGUACUGUAUAUGCACUUGUAUUUGGUAAGUUUAUUUAAUAAGCUAAAUUUAGUUUAGCAACUGGAAAUAAACAAUAAAAGAAAGUUGACAAUUAUCCCUACCCUUUGUACCUGCUCUUCAAGUGGAGUCUUUCGGGUAUGGAGCAGAGCUUGAAAUAUUUACUUUUUUGGACACUUUUUCUAACUCCCAGACAACCAAUGGCCCUGAUGGUUGAACAAAUUUGGAGAAUUCUAGAGCACAAAAGUAGAAUUUCUAAGCUCAAUUCCAGACAUACACACAAUCAAAUGAUCUCAAAAUUCUGGGAAUAAAUUUGAGAUCACCUUCCAGAGUUCAUCUGAUGAGGGUUUAGCAUCAGGUUAGUGCUAAACAAUAGGCAUAAUAAGGUGGCUGUUCCAGGAAGCAAAUCUUGUCUCAGGGGAAGUGAAACAAGAAGGUGGAGCACAACCUUUCAGGAUAGAGUAGGGAUGUAAUUCUUAACUAAUUUCAUCCUCAAAGGAAGUGUUCUGUAAUUUUAGAAGGGUUCAUUCUCCCACUUGGCUCUGAGUGACCUUGGGCAAGACAUGCACUUUCAGCCCAAGAAAACCUUAUAAUACAUUUGUGUUAGGGUCACCAUAAGUUGGAAACAAAGGUACACAAUAACAAUAUUUGUUGUUAAUCAUGUUAUGUUCAUGCAUACAAAGUAUUGUAUUAAUUCCCCCCCCCCCCACACACACACACAUUACAAGACUUUCCUAAACUCAGUACUUGAAUUUUUGGUUUUCUUUGCCUAAAGUAAUAGUUUGUUUGUUCUUUCUCUCUGAUGGAUUGUUGCCUGGCCACAUUCUUUUAUCUAUACACUGUUGUUGCUUUGCCAUAUAUGCCCCCAAUUUUCUUCUGUGCAAUGUUGGAGGGUUUGGAAAGAGCUGUAUUUUUCUUCAGUGCUAUAUAGACAGCUCAACACAUCUUAGAAGCUGUUUCAGAACUUUUAAAGCCAAUUUUCAGUGACUGCUGAUACAUUAAGUGCUUGCAAAAGUGGUCUUGUAGGUUUACACUCUCUUCUAACACAAUCAAGGCUUUUUUAAAACAAGGCAAAUGGAUUUAACAUCUGUAGUUGGUUUUGUAAGUGCCAAACAAUUAAAAGUGUUUUCUUGGCAUUGUGCUUCAACUGAAUAGCUCCUAACUUGUCAAAAGUGCAUACUUUUAUUGUUGUGGUGUUUUCUGUCAAGACAACGUAAUUUUAUGGGAGGCUGGACAGCUUGUGGAAGCUGAUGAAAUGCCUAAAAAAUGCACAUGUUUUUUCUUUUGUCUUUUAUGGUCAUGUCUUUUCAACUAGUUUAUGUGUUAUAUGUUUUUAACUGAUAGUUCAUGUUGUAUUUAAAUAUGUUGCUGGUUUCUGCCAGGCACAAUCCAUCAUCUUUCUCUAUGCUGAUGACUGCAAGAAAAAGGCUGUUGGUACCAGUUUCCUAUCUGGACAGUAGAACAGGCGAAAUUGGAGCUCUUGCUGUCCAGAUGUCCCAGCAAACUAAAGUAUCCCCCAACUUUGUGUGGCAAAGUAAUUUUAAAGCAAAACAACAACAACAACAACACAUGAUAUUGGCCAGGCACCCUUGUGCAUCAUAGACACAGCCAGCCUUCUACUCAGAGUAAUUCCUAGGUUGCAAGUGUAGACAAGCCCUUCAUCAAUGUGAAGAGUCCAAUCACUCUGAAUUAACCAGCCCAUUCUGAGCUUUUUACAAUGAGUGAUUAUGUGAUUACUUGUCUGAUGAGUUUUUGAAUGUUUCCUUCAUUUUAAGCAGUUUAUUUGGAAUAAUAUAAGUGUCAGCAAAUUUGAAAAGCUACUCAGCUUCCCAAAUCACCUGAGGAGCACUUUCAGUGGCCACACUGGGUAGUUUUCUGGGAGUUAUAAUCCAAAAAAAAAAAAAAAAAAAAAACUUCCUUCAGCUUUGGCCAGGGUAACAUAUAUAUGAGAUGCUUUAGUCUUCUGUAGCAAAUAUAAUAUGUGGUAGCUUUAAUUGAUACACUUAUUAUGGGAUAAGAUUUUAGGAUGAAGUGGACCUUAGUAAAAAGAAA